rnacentral:rRNA from 1 species
CCUACGGGCGGCAGCAGUGAGGAAUAUUGGUCAAUGGGCGGGAGCCUGAUCCAGCCAAGCCGCGUGGGGGAAGAAGGUCCAGCGUAUCGUAAACCUCUUUUGUCAGGGAACAAAGGCGGGGACUAGUCCCCGGAUGAGGGUACCUGAAGAAAAAGCAUCGGCUAACUCCGUGCCAGCAGCCGCGGUAAUACGGAGGAUGCGAGCGUUAUCCGGAUUUAUUGGGUUUAAGGGGUGCGCAGGGGGCCUGUUAAGUCAGAGGGAAAAGCCCGGGGCUCAACCCCGGCGAGCCGUUGAAACUGGCAGGCUGGAGUGGGAGAGAGGUACGCGGAAUGCGCGGUGUAGCGGUGAAAUGCGUAGAUAUCGCGCAGAACCCCGAUGGCGAAGGCAGCGUACUGGCUCCACACUGACGCUGAGGCACGAAAGCGUGGGUAGCGAACAGGAUUAGAUACCCUUGUAGUC